rnacentral:tRNA from 1 species
AGGAAAAUAGUUUAAUUAAAACAUUUGAUUUGCACUCAAAAAAUGUUAUCUUCUAUAACUUAUCUUA